ensembl:lncRNA
UAUAACUAUUUCUAAAAGAUAAUUUUGUUUAUUCAGUCUAAAAUAUGUGCUCUGUUUUCUCUUUUUACAUGGAAAGAUAAAACCCCUCAGUGCGAUAAGAGCAAACAAUGCCAGGGUGAAGGCAAGGGUGAAGGCAAGGGUGAAGGCAAAGGUGAAGGCAAGGGAAAAGGACCAGGACAAGGGCAAGGCAAGGGUCAUGGUCACGGACAUGGUCAUGGUCAUGGUCACGGUCACGGACCUGGAAAGGAUGGAAAGGAUUGCAAAGGCAACCCAUAAUGACAAGGAGCUGAAUGAAGAGACCUCUGAAGUCUGUCUGAUACUGUUUUUUCUUGCACCAUGACUAAUAAAAUAAAACAUGUAUAAGUGUACCACAUAUGUUUGUUUUUAUUAAAUGAUAAUAAAGUGUUGGUAUCAGAGAAUGGCUUUUAGAAUCAUUGACUCUGAAAUUCACACAGAUGAAACUUCAAUGUCCAAAUAUACAACAAAAUGAAGUAGCUGUGGCAAGGUGUGCAAGUUUACACAGCAAGAAGGUGUAUAUGCUGAAACAAUGUUAAAUCAGGAAAUAAGACCUACUUGGUUUAUGAAUGUUAUCUUUU